AGGGUUUGAUCAUGGCUCAGGAUGAACGCUAGCGGCAGGCUUAACACAUGCAAGUCGAGGGGUAGAUUUUCUUCGGAGAAUUGAGACCGGCGCACGGGUGCGUAACGCGUAUGCAACUUACCUUAUACUGGGGGAUAGCCCGGAGAAAUUCGGAUUAAUACCGCAUAUGCUCACAGUUUCGCAUGGAACAGUGAGGAAAGAUUUAUCGGUAUAAGAUAGGCAUGCGUCCUAUUAGCUUGUUGGUGAGGUAACGGCUCACCAAGGCGAUGAUAGGUAGGGGGCCUGAGAGGGUGGUCCCCCACACUGGUACUGAGACACGGACCAGACUCCUACGGGAGGCAGCAGUGAGGAAUAUUGGGCAAUGGAGGCAACUCUGACCCAGCUAUGCCGCGUGAAGGAUGAAGGUCCUCUGGAUUGUAAACUUCUUUUGUAUGGGGAUAAACUUUUCUACGUGUAGAAAACUGAAGGUACCAUACGAAUAAGGAUCGGCUAACUCCGUGUCAGCAGCCCGCGGUAAUACGGAGGAUCCAAGCGUUAUCCGGAUUUCUUGGGUUUAAAGGGUCC
rnacentral:rRNA from 1 species